rnacentral:siRNA from 1 species
UCCGAAUGGAGAAAGCGUAUCGGG